rnacentral:rRNA from 1 species
GCAUAUCAAUAAGCGGAGGAAAAGAAACCAACAGGGAUUGCCCUAGUAACGGCGGAGUGAAGCGGCAACAGCUCAAAUUUGAAAUCUGGCUUCGGCCCGAGUUGUAAUUUGCAGAGGAAGCUUUAGGCGCGGCACCAUCUGAGUCCCCUGGAACGGGGCGCCAUAGAGGGUGAGAGCCCCGUAUAGAUGGACGCCUAGCCUGUGUAAAGCUCCUUCGACGAGUCGAGUAGUUUGGGAAUGCUGCUCAAAAUGGGAGGUAAAUUUCUUCUAAAGCUAAAUAUUGGCCAGAGACCGAUAGCGCACAAGUAGAGUGAUCGAAAGAUGAAAAGCACUUUGAAAAGAGGGUUAAAUAGCACGUGAAAUUGUUGAAAGGGAAGCGCUUGUGACCAGACUUGCGCCGGGCGGAUCAUCCGGUGUUCUCACCGGUGCACUCCGCCCGGCUCAGGCCAGCAUCGGUUCUCGCGGGGGGAUAAAGGCCCUGGGAACGUAGCUCCUCCGGGAGUGUUAUAGCCCGGGGCGUAAUGCCCUCGCGGGGACCGAGGACCGCGCAUCUGCAAGGAUGCUGGCGUAAUGGUCAUCAGCGACCCGUCUUGAAACACGGACCAAGGAGUCAAGGUUUUGCGCGAGUGUUUGGGUGUAAAACCCGCACGCGUAAUGAAAGUGAACGUAGGUGAGAGCUUCGGCGCAUCAUCGACCGAUCCUGAUGUUUUCGGAUGGAUUUGAGUAGGAGCGUUAAGCCUUGGACCCGAAAGAUGGUGAACUAUGCUUGGAUAGGGUGAAGCCAGAGGAAACUCUGGUGGAGGCUCGCAGCGGUUCUGACGUGCAAAUCGAUCCGUCCAAAUCUGAGCAUGGGGGCGAAAGACUAAUCGAACCAUCUAGUAGCUGGUUACCGCCGAAU